UCAGGAAAGUNUGGAGUAAAAGGCUAUGGCUCAACCAUAGUGUGCUCUGGAAACUGUNUGACUUGAGUGCAGAAGGGGAGAGUGGAAUUCCAUGUGUAGCGGUGAAAUGCGUAGAUAUAUGGAGGANCACCAGUGGCGAAAGCGGCUCUCUGGUCUGUCACUGACGCUGAGGCUCGAAAGCGUGGGUAGCGAACAGGAUUAGAUACCCUGGUAGUCCACGCCGUAAACGAUGAGUGCUAGGUGUUAGGCCCUUUCCGGGGCUUAGUGCCGGAGCUAACGCAAUAAGCACUCCGCCUGGGGAGUACGACCGCAAGGUUGAAACUCAAAGGAAUUGACGGGGGCCCGCACAAGCGGCGGAGCAUGUGGUUUAAUUCGAAGCAACGCGAAGAACCUUACCAGGUCUUGACAUCCCGAUGCUAUUCUUAGAGAUAGGAAGUUACUUCGGUACAUCGGAGACAGGUGGUGCAUGGUUGUCGUCGGCUCGUGUCGUGAGAUGUUGGGUUAAGUCCCGCAACGAGCGCAACCCUUAUUGUUAGUUGCCAUCAUUAAGUUGGGCACUCUAGCGAGACUGCCGGUAAUAAACCGGAGGAAGGUGGGGAUGACGUCAAAUCAUCAUGCCCCUUAUGACCUGGGCUACACACGUGCUACAAUGGUCGGUACAAUGAGUUGCGAGCCGGUGACGGCAAGCUAAUCUCUGAAAGCCGAUCUCAGUUCGGAUUGGAGGCUGCAACUCGCCUCCAUGAAG
rnacentral:rRNA from 1 species